GAUGAACGCUAGCGGGAGGCUUAACACAUGCAAGUCGAGGGGCAGCAUAGGGUAGCAAUACUCUGAUGGCGACCGGCAAACGGGUGAGUAACGCGUAUGCAACCUACCCUGUACAGGGGGAUAACCCGGAGAAAUUCGGACUAAUAUCCCGUAAUAAUAUCCGGAGGCAUCUUUGGAUAUUUAAAGUUUCGACGGUACGGGAUGGGCAUGCGUAACAUUAGCUGGUUGGUAAGGUAACGGCUUACCAAGGCUAUGAUGUUUAGGGGUCCUGAGAGGGUGGUCCCCACACUGGUACUGAGACACGGACCAGACUCCUACGGGAGGCAGCAGUGAGGAAUAUUGGUCAAUGGGCGCAAGCCUGAACCAGCCAUCCCGCGUGCAGGAAGACGGCCCUAUGGGUUGUAAACUGCUUUUCCAGGGAGAGAAACUUACGCACGUGUUGCGUGACUGACGGUACCCUGGGAAUAAGCAUCGGCUAACUCCGUGCCAGCAGCCGCGGUAAACGUAGCGUG
rnacentral:rRNA from 1 species